rnacentral:rRNA from 1 species
GAUGAACGCUAGCUACAGGCUUAACACAUGCAAGUCGAGGGGCAGCGGGAUUGAAGCUUGCUUCAAUUGCCGGCGACCGGCGCACGGGUGAGUAGCGCGUAUCCAACCUUCCGUACACUCAGGGAUAGCCUUUCGAAAGAAAGAUUAAUACCUGAUGGUAUGAUGAGAUUGCAUGAUAGCAUCAUUAAAGAUUUAUCGGUGUACGAUGGGGAUGCGUUCCAUUAGGUAGUAGGCGGGGUAACGGCCCACCUAGCCAACGAUGGAUAGGGGUUCUGAGAGGAAGGUCCCCCACAUUGGAACUGAGACACGGUCCAAACUCCUACGGGAGGCAGCAGUGAGGAAUAUUGGUCAAUGGACGAGAGUCUGAACCAGCCAAGUAGCGUGAAGGAUGAAGGUCCUACGGAUUGUAAACUUCUUUUAUAAGGGAAUAAACCCUCCCACGUGUGGGAGCUUGUAUGUACCUUAUGAAUAAGCAUCGGCUAACUCCGUGCCAG